rnacentral:rRNA from 1 species
UACGGGGGGGGCAAGCGUUGUCCGGAAUUACUGGGCGUAAAGGGUGCGUAGGCGGCUUUCUAAGUCGGAUGUGAAAGCUCUGGGCUCAACCCAGAGCCUGCAUCUGAAACUGGAGAGCUAGGGUUUUGGAGGGGAAAGCGGAAUUCCAGGUGUAGCGGUGAAAUGCGUAGAUAUCUGGAGGAACACCGGUGGCGAAGGCGACAUCCUGGACCGGUAUUGACGCUGAGGCGCGAAAGCCAGGGGAGCAAACGGG